GAUCCAGUGGUGAAAUUGGCAGACACGCAGGCUUGCCAAGCCUGUGCUUUUUUAAGCGUGCGGGUUCGUAUCCCGCCUGAAAUA
rnacentral:tRNA from 2 species